AGGCCUCAAAGACGUGCACAGCCCUCACACACCUCACAGCCCUCACACACCUCACAGCCCUCACACACCUCACAGCCCUCACACACCUCACAGCUCACCCCGCCGCCAUUAACAAACCACCCGGCCGCCCUUCAAGGCGCUUGCGCGGUUCCCGGGCAUGCGCUGCUCCCUGUGGCAGCUCUGGGUGCUGGGCUGGGCUGUGUCGGGGUGCGUUGAUCCGGUUGCUCCCCGCAUGCAGUGCCACACGUAGGCGGGCGGGGAGCGGGGGGCAGCGGCUGCCGGGCUGCACGUAGAGUGUGGGUGGGCGCGGCCUCCGAGCGGAGCGGAUCGGAGCGGGAUCUGGCGGCUCUCCGGCCCCUCGAUCCGCGGCGCACGUAGGCGGAGGAGAGCGGCUGGAGAGCAGGGACGUAGGGCUGCGACCCUGUACAACCCGUGUGUGAGUGAGCCUGGCUUCGCUAAUGAAACAGGAUGCUGACGGUGUGGGGAGAGCACUUACAGAGCCCGGUGGCUGUAAGGAUGUGAGGCACGGGGUGGUGUUGGUGAGGUAGGGGCUGUACCCAUCCCUGCAGUGAUGGGGUUAUCCCUUCAGCUCACGGUUUACCAGGUGUAUCAUUGCGGUGGUGGUCGCUCUGGGAUGCUCUGAAGGAGCUGCAGGCGGGAUGGCGGCUCUCUAAGGCAGGUAGGUGAGAGGAUGUAAUGGGAUGAGGCUGUUGUGUGCGCGCUGAUGGGAUGAUGAGCCCUUCCUUGGCUACAGCUUAAAGAUGGGGAGGAAAAAGCAACAGGAUCUUCUGGCACAGUUGUCAUUCUGUUGCUUUUACACUCAAAUGCUGUUGUUUUUCUUAGUCUAAUGAAUCCUGCACGUUUCUUGAUGAACUGUUUUCACUCAGUGCUCCUUUGUGUUCUUUAUUACUAUGUUUUAAUGUCAAUAGACUGCUAUUCAUACAACUAAACAAAGGCAUACGAGUUCCCCCUUGUCCUGCCCUGUAAGAUGUAAGUUAAGAAGCUAUUUUAUCCUGCACAGACAUAGCUAUAAAUAACAGGUUUCUCAAGUUGCACAUGGCAUAGGGUUAUUUAUUUUUGAGUAUCUUAUGUGUUCAGGAUACAUUUUCAAAUGGAGAGCGUGGAAAUAAAUCUUGUUUUCACGAACGUAAAUCACACAAGUGGAAGUUUUAACGUGCUGUUUAACUAAAUAUAUCCAGGCAUCACUGAUGCUAAAUAACGGGAUCGUACUCUAUCGAGUUGACAGCAUCGAAUUGAUGAACAGAAAGAUGACGGACGUCACAGGUUAGAAACAAACCCUCUCUUUUAUUGAACUUUAUACCGUUACACAAUCGAAAAAGAAGUACAAUCACAAGUAUGUCCAAAUGUUUCAAGAGAAAUACAAUUGCAAUAGGUUGUACUUGGUUCCAGAAAAGAAUUCCAUCAAAAUAUACCACUUUUUUUCAUGAGAGAAUACUGCAGUUAUUCACAAAAAUCUACCGUACUGUAUAAAUCCAGUAGCAAACUCUUUGAACUUUUUGGUAACUUGGCAAGCUUUGCUCAAGGUAAGAAGGGAAGCAGAAAGAAAAUGACACUUCGAUUUUAGAACGUGGAUUAAAAUCACAGUUCUCAAGAUUGGAGCUUUUCAGGGAGUCAAGCGUAUGAUUGCUAAUGAAAGCUGGGUGUUCAGCUGAUGAGUUCCUAUGACAAUACUGGCCUUCCUACGGAGUAUUCCUGGCCUGUGAAAUGUUUAGUUCCAUGUUGGAUAAUUGCAGUCUGAACAACAUCCAGAAGUGCAGUGAUGUUUGGGUGAAUUGUGGGCACUGUUCAGUAGCAGCUAAUCAGAGGGGAUGGAGAACAGAUGAUUGACCUCAGGCCUAUCCACUAGUGCUUGCAGGGUGCUCCUGCCUCCUGGCUUCGUGGAAUGAAAUGAUUCAUUCAGCACUUUAACUACAGAGAAAGCCUGCCAACAGAUACCAGCAGAACAGCCCAUGUUUCUGUCUUCAGCUACCCCCAUUUAAGAAGCUGUUUAAAUAAUGAAAGUUACUUUAAAAUACGCAGCUAUUAAACCUGUAAUAGUUUUUGAUCCCUGUACCUUUAAUUCAUUGCAAGCACGUAGAGCUUUAAUUGUUCGUUCUGGCAUCUGUCUCUUUAAAGUGAUUCCUAAUUACUGUCAGGGAAUUUGUGCGUACAGCAGGAAUGGAAACUGUUAAUAGUAAAAUGUUUCUGUUAUAUCAUAUGUUUUGUGUGUAAAAGCAAAUACCACAUCCAGCUGCUGUUCCUUUUUUACUACUGGUAAAGAGUAAGUGCUCUCAGAUAAUGCCUCAAGACUUCAAGG